CAAUACACCAUCAUCCCCAACCCUAAUUAUUGUUUACUAGGAUCAAUCUCUCCCUCUCUCGCUCUCACUGUACCAGGGACCAGAGAUGAUGUGGUAAUUACAUCUGCCGACUGCUGGUCCACCGCAGACGGCUCCGCAAGUCUCUCUGCUCGGAGAGAAAUUAGAGACUGCUCAGCACAUGUCCAGGGCUGUAAUUACAAUAAGUACUCUGUGUAUGAAGUGUGUUUAUUUGUUUAUUUAUGAGACCCCAGAAUUCAAGAAUACUUCCCUUUGCUUCUACUUUCUAAGGUUUUUGUCAUGUCAGAUGUUUCCCGCUGAAAUAGGGAAUAAUGCGAGUAUGCAGCUCUAGCAUCUCUUACCUUAAAGCACCAAGGUAUUGUGAUUAAACGGAGAAGCUCAUAGAUAAAAAACAUUUUAAAGAAACACCCUUGUUCAAUUCAAUACGCUCUGAGGGAGUUUCUUAGUUGUGGUCUGGUAUUACUUAGCUUAUAGUGGCUAAUGUAAGCUAAUGUGAGUCUGUUCUGACUAACUGAAACUUUUCCACUAAUGCUAAUAUUAUGGCUUCUAUGUUUUAAGGACUAGUUGAAGACACAAGUUAGUUCAAUUGAUUCAAUCUACUCCCUUGUUUGUAUACCUAACCUAGCCAGUUAGCCUAGAUUAGCACAUUGACUGUAAACAGAGUGAAACAGCUAGCAUAGCUCUUUCUAAGGGAAACGCAUUCUGCCUUGCAGCACCUCUAAAGUUUACUAAUCACCACAUUAUAUCUUGUUUGUUUUGUCUGUACAGAAAGUGAACAAAUGUACAAUUACAGGUUGAGGAUUUACGAGAGGUAAUGUAGCAGACUUGGUUUCUUGUUGGUAUUGUGAGGAAGCCAGGCAACCAGCGGCUCUUCAUGUUUAUGUUACAGCUCAGAGAGUGGUAGCCUAUUAAUCAUAACUCUAGAAGAAAGUGAAUAUAAGCACAUUUCUCAAAAUGUAUUACUAUUCUUUAAUCCUAUUUAAAGCAUGUGUGGCCAAAGAUUACUGAAAAUAUACAUGUAUGUAAAAAUAAGCAUGUUCAAGUAUAAACAGGCUUGUGUUUUGGGCUGUUUUUCUGCAUUUAAGUAGCUCUCUUAGGACGGAAGGUGUUGCAUGUUGAACAGAUUGUAAAGUGUGUGGUUUUGGGCUACAUACAAUGAAGCUGAUUUAAAUUCACUAUAAGAAAAGUAGUGCGUUUGGAUGUUGUUAUUUUAUAUAAGAGGAUGUGGCUGGGCACGAACAUGCAGCUCAAAAUAUCUUACUUUACUACCAAAUGUGGUAAUUUCUUUUCAAAAAAUAUCUGCCAACUGGAGUCUUGGUACCUAUUUAACAACUGCUCCUCUAACAGAGAAGUCCACAGCUGGGGCAAACAUCUUUGAAUCUCACCAACGUCUCACUUUUUCUCUUCUUCACAGAUAGCAGCACUUCUAUCUCCCAUUUUAUUUUGCAGGGAUCCAGUUUCAGACACAAAGCAGUCGAGGGGACCCAGAGCUGCCGAGGGGCGCUUUCUCCACUUCCAGAUUUAUGAGCUGUGCAAUGAGACAGUCGACAACUCAGACCAUUAAAAGAUUAUCUGGAUCUUUCACAGGCAUACUGGGAUAAUUUGGGAGCAAAGUCAUUAUGUUCAUACCAUAUAAAUCUACAAGGUAGAGAGUGACACACGAGAACAGUCUAUAACACAAUGUCUUUGUUACAUUGCAUGUGCUGUGACACAUCUGUGCCUGUUUUAUAUUCCCCUUAAGACAAAUAAAUCUUCCAGUUUUUUAGAUAAAUUCGCAGCUUUGAAGGACAUUUUUUAUUUUGAUACCAAACUGCUGUCAUCCUCUUUUGCACAUUGUGUCUUGUAUCAUUGUAUCAAGGAUUCUGAAUGAUUUAACCGCAAUGGUGUUGCAUUUUUGGGGGGGUUUCCUUUCCUGUAGUGUGUUAUAUGGGUUUUCGCCCAUUUAAAUGGUCGGCAAGAGCAUAAAUGCCCAAAUUCACAGCGGCUUUUCUCACCAACACAGUUCCCCUCUUGCCGAAAACCUUGAUUUGACUUUUUGUGCAAUUCCGUAACAUAAUGACAUCACUUGUACGUGAUAGGCUAAGUGGCGGGACAUCUCUAAGCAGAGCCGGACAGCAACCUAAUAAGAGCUGGACUCUGGUUUCUCACAGAGGGUGAAAAGAGAUGCUGCAGCACAGGCAGCCUCUUACACUCCUUAGUUUGAGAAUUACUACUCGGAACAUAAAAGCAGAUGCUGGAUGAGAGCGGAGGAUGGACUUAGAGGCGAACACGUGAAGGUGUUCUCGAGGGAGGCAGAGUGACUUCACACCAGUGACAGAAAGUUGCUGAUCCCCGUAUUGCCGGCCCAUUCACCAGGAUGACAUCAUUGGCUCAGACUGUGCCAACUGUGCUCAAUAAAGCCCAGGCGUGUUUCUGUGUGGGAGUGCCUCUGCUGCACUGAGACUCGCAUGAAAGAUGUGAGUGAGAGGAUCUUUGUACCAAAUUAGUCAUGGCAAAAAAAUGGAGAUUAUUGCUUGUCACUAGCAUUCACAGAUUGUAAAGAAUGUGAAUCAUUAAAAAA